rnacentral:lncRNA from 10 species
AAGAGAUUAAAAUUUGGGGCUGAGGUUGGAAAAGGACCACAGGUUGAGGGUCCUGGUGAGAGUAAGGGAACCUAUAUAUAGUUCAGAGGCUGUCCUCCAAGGAGAUGACAACCUUCAGAGGGAUGGCUUGUGAUGAGCUCAGGGAAUCUGGACAGGGGCUCCCAGACUCACCAAGUGAGUCACAAACAUGUCUUAGAAACAGUGAAACUAUCUGACCUGAAGAGACUCUGACCAAGCCUUAAUAAAGGCUGAAAUUGCAUUUCCCGCCAGCCUGGUGGGCUGAAGCUUGGGUUUAAAUUCUGGCUUAAUUUUAUUCAAGCGGGACAAAAAGUGAAUAUUUCUUGAAUAUCUGAGCUUAAAGAGUAAGAUUCCUCCCUACAACAUAUGGAAGUUAAUCCAAAACUUCUAAGAAUUCUCAUGCUGUAUGUGUCUACAUCCAGGACUGAUUACAAUCCCUCUUAAACAAGUGGCUUCCAAGACACCCAUGCUUAUCUGCAUCAAGCCAGCAGGAAGAGGAAAAACAUGGAGGAUAUCAAGUAUAUGGUCUAUUGCUUCUUGACUCCAGUUGGAUGCAAACGCAGUCUUCCAUACAGCUGAGGGAAGUGGAAAUGAAGAUAGAGCAAAGUGACCUCCCACUGAUACUGGCACAUAAUUACAUUCAAUGUCAUGUUGUUACUUCCAAAGAUACUUUUUGCUUAUGUUGGCUAGGUUUUAAUAGUUUUUGAGGCCUUACUUAAACCCUGCUGAAGCUUUUUUCAAUCAAGUUAAUAGUUAAGACCUUAAAAUUUAUUAUAACAAUAUGUACAAAUUUGAUUUGAGCA